rnacentral:rRNA from 1 species
UAAACGACUCUCGGCAACGGAUAUCUCGGCUCACGCAUCGAUGAAGAACGCAGCAAAAUGCGAUACUUGGUGUGAAUUGCAGAAUCCCGUGAACCAUCGAGUUUUUGAACGCAAGUUGCGCCCGAAGCCAUUCGGCCGAGGGCACGUCUGCCUGGGCGUCACGC